GUGCUCACUUUGGCACCACAUAUACUAAAAUUGGAACAAUACAGAGAAAAUUAGCAUGACCCCUGUGCAAGGAUGACACAAAAAUUCAUGAAACAUGACAUAAAAAA
ensembl:snRNA U6 U6 spliceosomal RNA